GCCCGGGUGGCGGAAUGGCAGACGCAGAGGUCUUAAACACCUCGGCCCGCAAGGGCGUGUGGGUUCGAGUCCCACCCCGGGCA
rnacentral:tRNA from 1 species